rnacentral:lncRNA from 10 species
GUAACACCCAAGGCAACUGUCUUUGGAGACAGGGCCUGUGAAGAGAUUACAAAGGUUAAAUAAGGUCAUAAAUAUGGGGACCUAACUCGAUAGGGCUGAUGCUCCUACAAGACGAGGAAGAGAAACCAGAGCUCUCUCUCUUCACACGUGCACAAAGAUGAGGUCAUGGGAAUGCACAGGGAGAUAGCAACUGUCUACAAACCAGGUAGAGAACCCUCAUCAGGAACUGAAUGAGCUGGCAUCUUGAUCUCGGACAUCCGAUUCCCCAGAACUCAAACUACUGCUUUGUCCAUGAACACCUUGUCAACUUCAAAGAUUCACUUCUGUUGGAAAUAAACAGCAUGAGCAGAAGGCUGCCAAGUUACAGAAAAUUUGAAGAUUCUUGAAGAUUCUUUGAUGACAACAAGUACUUUUUCAUUAAUUUGAAAGGAUAUUUUAUGAAUAGCCAACAGUUCUAAGAAAAAAAAUGAAGUCAAAGAUACUCACUGAACAGUUCUAAGAAAAAAAAUGAAGUCAAAGAAAAAAAAAGCUCAUUUUUUCCAUGUGAAUUUCUGAGGCUUGGCAGGGUGGCUUCUUGAUGUUGAAGUGCUGAAAAUGCUGAUUUUUAAUGGUUUUCAAUUGAAGAUGUGGUGAUGACAACAUCCCAAACAUAACUUUGUUCUUCCAAGAGGCACUAUUUUUAGGUGCUGGAGAUAUAGCACUGCACAAAACUGAAAUAUUUCCACCCUCAUGGGAUUUAUAUUCUACUGUGGUAGUCUUACAACAUGGGAGUUAGUUUGACAAUGCAGAAUUCUAAAAAUGGUACCCAAGAUUCCUAUCUCCUGGCUAUUCAAUCAGACACGAAUCUAUGUACUGCUGUGAAGGGACUUUGCAGAUGUAGUUAAGCUUAAGAACUUCAAAAUAGAGGGAGGGGCCUGAAUUACCCAGGUGGGCCCAAUCUAACCACUUGAGCCCUGAGAAUCAGAGAAAUUUCUUCAGCUGGAGUCAAAGAGAUGCAGCAGAAGAGGAAAGCAGGAGAGAUGAGGCAAAAGGGGAAGUCAAAGAGAUUCAAAGCCUGAGAAAGGCUAGACUUUCCCUUGAUGGCUUUGAAGGCGGCCAUGAGCCAAGGAAUAUAGGCAGCCUUUAGAAGUUGAGAAAGACUUUGACUGACAAGCAAAAAGGAGAUGGAGGCCUGAGUCUUAUAAUCACAUGGAACUGAAUUUGGCCAACAACUGAAAUGAGUUUGGAUGUGGAUUCUUCCUAGAGACUCUUGAUAAAAGCCCUGCAGCCUGACACUUUGCUUUCAGCCUUCUGAGAAUUGGAGCAAAAGAAGCAACAAAGACCGCUGGACUUCUGACCUACAGAACUGUGAGUUGAUAGAUUUGUGUUGUUUUCAGCAGCUAAGUUUGUGGUAAUUUGUUAUGGUAGCAAUAAAAAACUGUAAGAACAAUAAACAGGAAAAAGAAGCAAAAUAUUUGCUAGUAGAAUGUAAAUGCUAAGGAGUAAAAAUACAGCAAACAAGGUAUUAAACGAGAGAAGAAAUGGUAUUUUAGGUAGGAUUUCCAGGAAGGCCUUACUGAGAAGAUUACUUUUGAGAAAGGACCUGAAGACCAUGCAGGAGCAAGUCAUGAGGAUAUUGUGGGAAAGGCUUUUCCAUGCAGAGAGAGCAGUAAGAGCAAAGGCCCUGAGGCCGGAGCAGGUUUGUUUGAUGUGUGAGAG